rnacentral:rRNA from 1 species
ACAGGCUUAACACAUGCAAGUCGAGGGGCAGCAUGGUCUUAGCUUGCUAAGGCUGAUGGCGACCGGCGCACGGGUGAGUAACACGUAUCCAACCUGCCGUCUACUCUUGGCCAGCCUUCUGAAAGGAAGAUUAAUCCAGGAUGGCAUCAUGAGUUCACAUGUCCGCAUGAUUAAAGGUAUUUUCCGGUAGACGAUGGGGAUGCGUUCCAUUAGAUAGUAGGCGGGGUAACGGCCCACCUAGUCAACGAUGGAUAGGGGUUCUGAGAGGAAGGUCCCCCACAUUGGAACUGAGACACGGUCCAAACUCCUACGGGAGGCAGCAGUGAGGAAUAUUGGUCAAUGGGCGAUGGCCUGAACCAGCCAAGUAGCGUGAAGGAUGACGG